rfam:TPA: Bos taurus chromosome 7, whole genome shotgun sequence.
UCCCUGGUAGUCAAGUGGUUAGGACUUCACACUUCUACUGCAGAGGGCCCAGAUUCAAUUCCUAGUCGGGGAA